GACGAACGCUGGCGGCGCGCUUAACACAUGCAAGUCGAGCGGGAACCGGGCCUUCGGGCCCGGGGACAGCGGCGAACGGGUGAGUAACACGUGGGUAAUCUGCCCUCGGUACUGGGAUAGCCCGGGGAAACCUGGAUUAAUACCGGAUAGCCCUUCGAGCCUUCGGGCUCGCAGGAAAAGGUAGCUUCGGCCUCCGACCGCGGAUGAGCCCGCGGCGGGUUAGCUUGUUGGGGGGGUAACGGCCUACCAAGGCGACGAUCCGUAGCUGGUCUGAGAGGACGAUCAGCCACACUGGGACUGGAACACGGCCCAGACUCCUACGGGAGGCAGCAGUGGGGAAUCUUGCCCAAUGGGCGAAAGCCUGAGGCAGCGACGCCGCGUGCGGGAAGAAGGCCCUCGGGUUGUAAACCGCUUUCAGGAGGGACGAAGCCACUCGGGUUAAUAGCCCAGAGGGUGACGGUACCUCCAGAAGAAGCCCCGACUAACUACGUGCCAGCCGCCGCAGUAACAC
rnacentral:rRNA from 1 species